rnacentral:lncRNA from 1 species
UUUGAAUUCAAACUCAUGAUUCUUUAUAUCUCCACAAUUAAGGUGUAAGGCUAGGCACUAGGUUAUUUGACAAAAACUAUCCACUACAAAUUAUUCUACUAUAUGAAUUUGUUCUUGUAUGAACACUAGAGGUUAAUGACUGAGUUUGGUGAUGUGAACUCCAAACUGAUUCUCUAAUUUUUUCACCACGGAUUGAAUGUUAAUUGUCUGCUCGUGAUAUGCCUGGUCUCCAAAUAGAGUGUACAUGCAAACACACUUUGAUGCCAAAGUAAGGUAGGUACAAAAUAUUUAAGUGAGAUAUGAAAAUGUGUUUAUACUUACGAGCGAAUCCUCUAUCUAUAGUAGUUUGUAAGCUCGAAGAUGUUUCACGCUCAUCUUCUCUAAUUGAAUGAUCAUUUAGUGUUUAUCUUGAUUUUAGAGUUGUUGUGGCUUGACCUAAAUAGAGACUAGAGAAUUGUUCAUUGAUAUUAGUAAAUACAAUUAUUUUUCAAACCUGGACAAUAUUUGAUAAGGUUUUUUCUUAACCGGUUUGUUGGUGUUUCAUAUAUUCAUUCAGAUGACUAUUACAACUUGGUCAGAAUAGACGUUGUGUGCAAGUGCCUCUAAUAUCCGAUAUUGGUGGAGACACUUCUGCGAGUCAGAUGAGUUCCCCUACAUGUGAAAUGGUGGAGACACAUUUGGCUUCUCAUAAUCUUUAUCUUCAUGAAUGACAUAAGUGUAGUUUUUUGUGCCACAUCACCCCAUUUGGAUGGUGUUUUCACAUUAGAUUUCUUCUAUUUGACAAUUCAAUUAGGCCUAUUUUAUCCAUACGAUACAUAGACUCCUACUAUUACAAAAUCAAAUAAAGGUAAUUUGUAGCCUCUUUCUCCAAUUCUACAAUUCCACAAUAAUUUGUGGUGUUCGUUUAUUUUCAAAAUAACCUAUUAGAUUACAUCCAUUUCAAAUGUAAUCAAUAACUUUGACGUUGUCAACAUUAUAAAUUCAGACACUUAAGUAUUUCAG